AUUUCCUCGCUUGUCCUCUAGGUUAUCUGCUGAUGGGCUCGGCCGGUAAGGAGGACUGACUGCGUGGAGAGGCGGAAACCACGAGUCUUUCUUUUUCCUUUCUCCUGGUUUUCCGUCUGCGUUCUCAUCAUGGUAAAGACACCUCCAGACCAUUCUGGGAGAUGUUUUCAGUGUUACCUUGUCAUACGUGCAGUAGGAUUACUUGGUGCAUUCGGCUUGGAAAAAACAGCAAAUGUAAUUUUUUCUGUGGCACGUUAAUUGGUGUACAUCAUGUAACCUGUCUGGUGAGUAACCUAGGGUAGGGGAUGAGUUCUCGUCACUACAUAUAUUUGAUGGCUUUUUUAUAUAAUACAGUCGUGCAUUUCACCGGCUUCUCGGCCACAAAUGCACAUGACCUCUGGGGGAGCUGGGGAGGAAGGCGAGGAGCCUGUGGCCACAGUGGGCCUCAGGCUGAGAGCAGGAGGCAUCUCCCAGGCUCAGACAUGUCCUCCCUAGGCCAUCGGCACAGACUUCACAGGGACUGAGGUCAGAGCUCAAGCUUGUUAUGAUGAAGUUCAUUUGCCUGGAAAACCAAUUUUUAGAAUCUUUGUACAAAUGACCAAAGCUAUUGAGUUGGCCAGAAAAGGUGAGAUAAAUAAAUUUAUUUCAAAAUGAAAA